rnacentral:lncRNA from 1 species
CAGGAAUGCCUCUGCACUGUUGGCCCUGUGGGCAUUGGAUAAGCCUGGGUGCUGGGGCAGGCGCCAGGCCAGGUCCUGGGUGGCCUCUGUAGUGAAAUGCAGCCCUGGUUACCUCCAGCCUCCAUCUCUCCUGGGGAGAUUAACAUUAUUGAAUCUCUACAACAUCCUAGAACACCCUAGACAGGAGGUCUUUUUUUUUUUUUUUUUUUUUUUUGAGACAGGGUCUCACUCUGUCAUCCAGGCUGGAAUGCAGUGGCAAAAUCAUGGCUCACUGCGGCCUUGAACCCCCGGGAUCAAGCAAUCCUCCAGCCUCAGCCUCCCAGGUAGCUGGAUCAGCAGAUGCGCACCACCGUGAUCAGCUAAUUUUCUUCAUUUUUUUUGUAGAGUUGAGGUCUCACUAAGUUGCCCAGGCUGGUCUGGAACUCCUGGACUCGAGCAAUCCCCCCGCCUUGGCCUCCCAAAGUGCUGGGCUUACAGACAUGAGCCACCGUGUCCAGCUGACAGGAGGUCUUAACAUCCUUGUUUUUCGGACGAGGAAACUGAGGCGUGGAGAGGUGGAGACUUACACAAGAUCAUAGAGCGAAUAGAGGGCAGAGCUGGAGUCUGAAGUCAGUCUGACCGACCAUGAAACUCACAUGUCAUCCUGACACCAUUCCAAUCCUGUGAGGUGCUUUCACUAUGCAACCCUCCCUGCAGCAGUCCCGAGAAUGUGAUCCUGAGUUUACUUCUGAUGAAAGCAAGGCUCAGAGGGGCCACCUGCCUAAGGGCGUGCAGCUGGAAUGCGGGGAGCCAGGACUCAAGCUCUGGUCUGUCUCAUUCACUUGGAAGCCAGGCCCCUUUCCUCCCUCCCGCUCUGCGUGCAGGAGCUCCGUGGUGGGGCAGCUGCCCCGAGGGAAGGUCCUUCUGACCGCCAGUGUCUGUGGCUGGCUGUCCAGGAAGCAGAGCCAGGACUGGCAGCUUGGGCUCCGAGGACUGCCUCUUCCUCUUGGCUGCCAGGGAGUUUCCAAUCAUCAGAAGAAACAGACUCUGGGAACAGCUCUGCCACUUGUCCCAGCCCUGCCCCAGCCUCUGAGCAACUGGAGCCCAGAUGCCCUGGCCCACCCUAAGCUAUCCAUAAGCACAGGUGGGCCUGAAGGAGGCUCCCUGCUGGGCGUGGGCGAGGGUCUUGGCCUUCUAGGUGGGACCCUGCCUGCCAGGGGACAGCCUCUUAGGUGGGUGGGAAAGAGCUCUGUACUUGGGGUCACAAAUGUGGCUUCUGGCCCUGCUCCACCAAGGGCCAGUGCGUGAUUUUAAAUAGAUCUCUUCGCCUCUCUGAGCCUUAGUUUCUUGGUCUAUAAAAAAAUGGGACCCUAACCUCUCCUCACUGCGGUGUGGGAGGGAAAAUGAGUCAAGGCAAGAAAGUGCUGGAAACUGAAAGCCCUGGGCAGGACCUGCUCCAUAAUUUGCCAAGUUCAGGGCAAAAAUGAAAAGGUGGGGCCGGGCGCCCUGGCUCACACCUGUAAUCCCAGCACUUUGGGAGACUGAGGAAGGCAGAUCACUUGAGGUCAGGAAUUUGAGACUAGCUUGGCCAACAUGGGGAAACCCUGUCUGUACAAAAAAUACAAAAAAUUAGCCAAGCGUGCUGGCGCGCCUGUAGUCCCAGCUUUGCAAGAGGCUGAGGUGGGAGGAUGGCUUGAGCCUGGGAGGUGGAGGCUGCAAUGAGCUAUGACCGCGCCACUGUACUCCAGCCUGGGCGACAGAGCGAGACCCGUUCAAAAAUACAUAACAACAUAGCAUAACAUAUAAAAUAAAAUGUAAAUCAAAAAUAAAAAUGAAAAAGUGG